CGAUUUAGCGGAAGUUUUCGGAUGGAUCUUAGAUUGACUGAGCGGCGGACGGGUGAGUAACGCGUGGAUAACCUGCCUCACACAGGGGGAUAACAGUUAGAAAUGACUGCUAAUACCGCAUAAGCGCACGGUACCGCAUGGUACAGUGUGAAAAACUCCGGUGGUGUGAGAUGGAUCCGCGUCUGAUUAGGUAGUUGGUGAGGUAACGGCCCACCAAGCCGACGAUCAGUAGCCGACCUGAGAGGGUGACCGGCCACAUUGGGACUGAGACACGGCCCAAACUCCUACGGGAGGCAGCAGUGGGGAAUAUUGCACAAUGGGCGAAAGCCUGAUGCAGCAACGCCGCGUGAGUGAAGAAGUAUCUCGGUAUGUAAAGCUCUAUCAGCAGGGAAGAAAAUGACGGUACCUGACUAAGAAGCCCCGGCUAACUACGUGCCAGCAGCCGCGGUAAUACGUAGGGGGCAAGCGUUAUCCGGAUUUACUGGGUGUAAAGGGAGCGUAGACGGUUUUGCAAGUCUGAAGUGAAAGCCCGGGGCUCAACCCCGGGACUGCUUUGGAAACUGUAGAGCUAGAGUGCUGGAGAGGCAAGCGGAAUUCCUAGUGUAGCGGUGAAAUGCGUAGAUAUUAGGAAGAACACCAGUGGCGAAGGCGGCUUGCUGGACAGUAACUGACGUUCAGGCUCGAAAGCGUGGGGAGCAAACAGGAUUAGAUACCCUGGUAGUCCACGCCGUAAACG
rnacentral:rRNA from 1 species